rnacentral:rRNA from 1 species
AGCAGCCGCGGUAAUUCCAGCUCCAAUAGCGUAUAUUAAAGUUGUUGCAGUUAAAAAGCUCGUAGUUGAAUUUCGGGGUUAGUAGGUUGGUCAUGCCUCUGGUAUGUACUGGUCUCACUGAUUCCUCCUUCCUGAUGAACCUUAAUGCCAUUUAUUUGGUGUUUUGGGGAAUUUGGACUGUUACUUUGAAAAAAUUAGAGUGUUUAAAGCAAGCUAACGCUUGAAUACAUUAGCAUGGAAUAAUGAAAUAGGGCGGCAUGGUUCUAUUUUGUUGGUUUCUAGGACCACCGUAAUGAUUAAUAGGGAUAGUUGGGGGGCAUUAGUAUUCAAUUGUCAGAGGUGAAAUUCUUGGAUUUAUUGAAGACUAACUACUGCGAAAGCAUUUGCCAAGGAUGUU